AUUGAACGCUGGCGGCAUGCCUUACACAUGCAAGUCGAACGGUAACGCGGGGCAACCUGGCGACGAGUGGCGAACGGGUGAGUAAUGCAUCGGAACGUGCCCAGUAGUGGGGGAUAGCCCGGCGAAAGCCGGAUUAAUACCGCAUACGACCUACGGGUGAAAGGGGGGGAUCGCAAGACCUCUCGCUAUUGGAGCGGCCGAUGUCAGAUUAGCUAGUUGGUGGGGUAAAGGCCUACCAAGGCGACGAUCUGUAGCUGGUCUGAGAGGACGACCAGCCACACUGGGACUGAGACACGGCCCAGACUCCUACGGGAGGCAGCAGUGGGGAAUUUUGGACAAUGGGCGAAAGCCUGAUCCAGCCAUGCCGCGUGCGGGAUGAAGGCCUUCGGGUUGUAAACCGCUUUUGUUAGGGAAGAAAUCUUUUGAGCUAAUACCUCGGAAGGAUGACGGUACCUAAAGAAUAAGCACCGGCUAACUACGUGCCAGCAGCCGCCGCGG
rnacentral:rRNA from 1 species